CUCAGAGGAGAAAGAAAAAGUACUCACCAAAUAUAUUGAAAAGAUGAUUUUUUUCAACAUAUAUCAAGAAAGAAAUGAACUCUAUAAGAUUGCUCAGAGG